rnacentral:tRNA from 1 species
GCCGGAAUACCUCAGUUGGUAAA